AUUGAACGCUGGCGGCAGGCUUAACACAUGCAAGUCGAGCGAGCGGCGGACGGGCGAGUAAUGUCUUGGAAACUGCCUGAUGGAGGGGGAUAACUACUGGAAACGGUAGCUAAUACCGCAUACCAUCCGAUUUGCCCUGAUUGGAUUAGCUAGUAGGUGGGGGAAUGGCUGAUCUAGGCGACGAUCCCUAGCUGGUCUGAGAGGAUGACCAGCCACACUGGAACUGAGACAAGGUCCAGACUCCUACGAGAGGCAGCAGUGGGGAAUAUUGCACAAUGGGCGCAAGCCUGAUACAGCCAUGCCGCGUGUGUGAAGAAGGCCUUCGGGUUGUAAAGCACUUUCAGCGAGGAGGCGUUACUCGCAGAAGAAGCACCGGCUAACUCCGUGCCAGCAGCCGCGGUAAUAC
rnacentral:rRNA from 1 species